rnacentral:tRNA from 2 species
GCCCGAUUAGCUCAGUGGUAGAGCAACCGCCUUGUAAGCGGUAGGUCAUCAGUUCGACUCUGUUAUCGGGCUCCA